rnacentral:rRNA from 1 species
CCCUUAGAUGUCCUGGGCCGCACGCGCGCUACACUGACAUGUUCAACAAGCCUCCUAGUUCGACAGGAUUUGGGAAAUCUUUGAACGCAUGUCGUGAUAGGGAUAGAUCAUUGCAAUUAUUGAUCUUGAACGAGGAAUUCCUAGUAAACGCGAGUCAUCAGCUCGCAUUGAUUACGUCCCUGCCCUUUGUACACACCGCCCGUCGCACCUACCGAUCGAAUGUUUCGGUGAAGAUUCCGGAUAGGACUUUUUUGAUUUAUUUCAAUUUUGUCUUAAAAGCUAUCUAAACCUCAACAUUUAGAGGAAGGUGAAGUCGUAACA